rfam:Oryza sativa Indica Group cultivar 93-11 Ctg046597, whole genome shotgun sequence.
CCUUAGCCCUGAUAGAAGUGGAAAUCCUUUUGUGAAGCUUUAGCGGAACAAAAGAUUGAAACGGAUAGCAGGAAAUAGC